UUUUUAGGCACCACCCACUCUGGCAGGACAUCCUCCUUUGCAGGGGCAAAUGCACAAGAGUUUGAAUGCAAGUUAAAGAAGUUAAACUGUUGACCAGUAAGUGGCAACUCCUUCUGUGUGGACUGAAAUAAAAGGCUCCAGUGUCCUUCUCCUGUGUGGUGGACUCCAUACUCAACAGAUGCCUUGCCCGUUGUCAGCAUCAGGAGCUACUGCUGCAGAUACCGGAAACCACACCUCCCACUUCCUGCUUUCUGUCUCCAGAACUGAUUCUCAUAGACUGAAUCGACCCUGCAAGUUCUUGGAAUUUGUGGGAUUUGUUCGUUGGCUGAGCUGAUUGAGAGAAUCCAGCUCUAGGUUAUACUGGCCUUGAAGUGCCGCAUCCUCUGGCUAGUGGCCUCUUGACGGAUCGGUGCAUAGAGAUUCCAUCAAAGAAAGCGGAAGCACAAGGAAACUAGUGGGAUGCUGAUGUUUGAAAAGGUGUCAAUAAAGGCUCUCCACUCAAAGAGAGAAACCAAAGCCAGGAGAUAUCGGAUAGCCGCACCUGUGGUAAAGGCCUUCUGCUCUUGGGCAGUUGUAUGCAGGAUCCCUUUUACAUACCUCUACACCUCUGCUUAUUCUGGCACCCACAGAAACAUUACAAGAAUGCAGGGCUUUGCAGCAGUCAGUUCCCCCGCUGGUCUGCUCCGUGUCUCAAGUCCAUCUACACCGAAAGCCUCGUCUCUGAACAGUACAAAGUGGUGGCUAAGGAUAAAAGAAUGGGUGCAGAUGAAACAGAAUUUUCUACCACCCUGAAUAUUCACCCUGCAUUUAAUCUAAAGGCAAAUAUUCCAACAUAAAUUUAUUUUUUAC
rnacentral:lncRNA from 1 species